UACGGAGGGUGCAAGCGUUAUCCGGAUUUACUGGGUUUAAAGGGUGUGUAGGCGGGCUUUUAAGUCAGUGGUGAAAUCUCCGGGCUCAACCUCGAAACGCCACUCGAUACUGCCAUGACUGGAGUCCGGUAGAGGAGUGCGGAAUUCCUGGUGUAGCGGUGAAAUGCGCAGAUAUCAGGAGGAACACCAACGGCGAAGGCAGCACUCUGGGCCGGUACUGACGCUGAGGAGCGAAAGCGUGGGGAGCGAACAGG
rnacentral:rRNA from 1 species